rnacentral:misc_RNA from 1 species
UCAAACUUGGUCAUUUAGAGGAAGUAAAAGUCGUAACAAGGUCUCCGUUGGUGAACCAGCGGAGGGAUCAUUACAGAAGAGUUGAAAGACUCGCUAACCCUAUGUGAACCUACCUGAAUAGUUGCUUCGGCGGGCAGCCCCAGGGCGGGGCCGCCGCCUCCCGCGUGAGGGAGGUGCCCGCCAGAAGCCCCAACUCUUAAACUCUUGUUCUUACCUGUCUUCUGAGGUUAUAAACAAAAAAUAAAUCAAAACUUUCAACAACGGAUCUCUUGGCUUUGGCAUCGAUGAAGAACGCAGC